rnacentral:rRNA from 1 species
GAUGAACGCUGGCGGCGUGCCUAAUACAUGCAAGUCGAGCGAACGGACGAGAAGCUUGCUUCUCUGAUGUUAGCGGCGGACGGGUGAGUAACACGUGGAUAACCUACCUAUAAGACUGGGAUAACUUCGGGAAACCGGAGCUAAUACCGGAUAAUAUUUUGAACCGCAUGGUUCAAAAGUGAAAGACGGUCUUGCUGUCACUUAUAGAUGGAUCCGCGCUGCAUUAGCUAGUUGGUAAGGUAACGGCUUACCAAGGCAACGAUGCAUAGCCGACCUGAGAGGGUGAUCGGCCACACUGGAGCUGAGACACGGUCCAGAGUCCUACGGGAGGCAGCAGUAGGGAAUCUUCCGCAGUGGGCGAAAGCCUGACGGAGCAACGCCGCGUGAGUGAUGAAGGUCUUCGGAUCGUAAAACUCUGUUAUUAGGGAAGAACAUAUGUGUAAGUAACUGUGCACAUCUUGACGGUACCGAAUCAGAAAGCCACGGCUAACUACGUG